UGGCAUACCUCUUCAUUUAUGCGUCAUGACUUGUAUCGUCUUGAGCGUAUUGUGGGUUUCCUGUGUUGCAUACCUUUCUUAUGGUAUCGUGCUGAUUGAUCGAAGUCCCUUUUCAUCUUGUGUUGCUUUUUGUGACGCAUGAUGAACCUCGAGGCGGUCUCUAUGUUCCACCACGUUGAUGCUAGCGUUUUGAUGUUGUGGCCCAUUGAGCGUUGCUUGGUUUUGUGGAUACAGAACAUGAUUUGGGCAUAGGGUCACUUGUGACUCUUGUUCUGUCCUCUAUCAGUGUUCUUUAUAACGACGGUUCAUGCGCGCCUAGGCUCGUACCUGCGCGAUGUUCUUUGUCGAAGAGGAAUGC
rnacentral:misc_RNA from 1 species